UUCAUUGAUUGCCUCUUUGUUAACCCCUUUCCAGAAUGAAUGGCGGUAUGAGUCUCUACUCCCUUCAGAGAUUGAAACACCCCCAAUCCAACCCACAGAGGUUGGUCCACCAGGUCAUGGGGAUAAAUAAUUCAGUCUUACUGGUCUUGGGGAACAUCUCCUAAAGUCUAAGUUGUUGCUGCUUCAAGUACAACAUGGAUCUUGACCUCCAUAUCUUCAAAGUCACAAGAGAAGAUCAGGCCUCUUCAACCAAACUGCAUAUUUUGCAAAGAAUUGUUGCCUGAACAUCACAUCUCUUUAUGAUCAAGUAAUGAUUUGAAUGUAUAAGGCCAUGUAAGUCCAGGCUUGGCAAAGAAACAUUGUCUAAAGAAAGCAGUUUUGGGGGUUAUCAAAUACAGCUGUUUGACAUUUAUUAAACAAAACAUCUUUGUCAGACUCUUACGCUUGUAGGUUGCUUCAAUACAUUUAUGUAUUGAUUCUUGUUUUACAUUGUAUGACUUGAAGGAACCACACAUAAACCAGGAAAAGUUUUUCCAAACAUAAAGCAAGAUACCACAUGCAAAUUUUCAAACAGUAGUUUUAAAAAUAAGUCUUCAGGUCAAAUUUCCACUUGUUAUAUG
rnacentral:lncRNA from 1 species